rnacentral:rRNA from 1 species
UGAUCCUGGCUCAGGACGAACGCUGGCGGCGCGCCUAACACAUGCAAGUCGAACGAGCGAGAGAGAGCUUGCUUUCUCGAGCGAGUGGCGAACGGGUGAGUAACGCGUGAGGAACCUGCCUCAAAGAGGGGGACAACAGUUGGAAACGACUGCUAAUACCGCAUAAGCCCACAGCUCGGCAUCGAGCAGAGGGAAAAGGAGCAAUCCGCUUUGAGAUGGCCUCGCGUCCGAUUAGCUAGUUGGUGAGGUAAUGGCCCACCAAGGCGACGAUCGGUAGCCGGACUGAGAGGUUGAACGGCCACAUUGGGACUGAGACACGGCCCAGACUCCUACGGGAGGCAGCAGUGGGGAAUAUUGCACAAUGGGGGAAACCCUGAUGCAGCGACGCCGCGUGGAGGAAGAAGGUCUUCGGAUUGUAAACUCCUGUUGUUGAGGAAGAUAAUGACGGUACUCAACAAGGAAGUGACGGCUAACUACGUGCCAGCAGCCGCGGUAAAACGUAGGUCACAAGCGUUGUCCGGAAUUACUGGGUGUAAAGGGAGCGCAGGCGGGAAGACAAGUUGGAAGUGAAAUCCAUGGGCUCAACCCAUGAACUGCUUUCAAAACUGUUUUUCUUGAGUAGUGCAGAGGUAGGCGGAAUUCCCGGUGUAGCGGUGGAAUGCGUAGAUAUCGGGAGGAACACCAGUGGCGAAGGCGGCCUACUGGGCACCAACUGACGCUGAGGCUCGAAAGUGUGGGUAGCAAACAGGAUUAGAUACCCUGGUAGUCCACACUGUAAACGAUGAUUACUAGGUGUUGGAGGAUUGACCCCUUCAGUGCCGCAGUUAACACAAUAAGUAAUCCACCUGGGGAGUACGACCGCAAGGUUGAAACUCAAAGGAAUUGACGGGGGCCCGCAC